GUCUCCUAUUGGUGCCCUCCCCGAACCGCCACCACCGGUCGGCGCGACCGCCGCUUCCGCCCUCCCGCGUCGGGGGGAGGGGUUCUGCAUAUUCGCCCGCGCCGGCCCGCCCUCUUCCUAACGCCUUGUGGCUCUCCGCCGGGCCCCUUCCGGUUUCUCACUCUAGGGGCGUCUCCGGAUAUCGAGACAAAAGGAUGCCACGGAGAAAGAAAAAAGUUAAAGAAGCUUCAGAAUCUGAGAAUCUGGAAAAGGAUGCAGAAACCACCAGUUCUGUCAGUGUGAAGAGGAAGCGUAGAGUUGAAGAUACAUUCAUUGUGAUAUCUGAUAGUGAUGGAGAGGAACCAAAGGAGGAAACUGGAUUGCAGAAAAUGAAGACAAAACAGUCAAAUAGAACAAACUGUUUGGCUAAAAGAAAAAUUGCACAGAUGACAGAAGAAGAACAGUUUGCCUUGGCUCUCAAAAUGAGUGAGCAGGAAGCUAAGGAGAUGAAUAACCAGGAAGAGGAAGAAGAGGAGCUCUUGAGGAAAGCCAUUGCUGAAAGCCUGAAUAGUUGCCGGCCUUCUGAUGCUUCUGCUACCAGAACUCGCCCUCUGGCCAUUGGACCAUCUUCACAGUCCCACCAAGAGAAAACCACAGACUCUGGGACCACUGAAGGCAUAUGGCAGCUGGUACCUCCAUCACUGUUUAAAGGCUCACAUGUCAGUCAGGGAAACGAGGCUGAGGAAAGAGAGGAUCCUUGGGACCACACUGAAAACACUGAAGAGGAGCCGGUCUCUGGCAGCUCAGGAAGCUGGGACCAGUCAAACCAGCCAGUGUCUGAGAAUGAGAACGUUAAAUGUUUUGACAGAUGUACUGGCCACUUGGCUGAGCACACACAGUGUGGGAAGCCACAGGAAAGUACUGGGAGGGGUUGUGUUGUUCUCCAGGCUGCCCAGGGUAGGGGGGACACAUCUAGGCACUAUUUGCCUAACCCAGCAGAUACAAAAGGCCUCCAGGACAUUGGAGACACUGUGCACUACUUCUGGGGUAUUCCAUUCUGCCCUGCUGGAGUAGACCCUAACCAGUAUACCAAGGUCAUUCUCUGUCAGUUGGAGGUUUAUCAAAAAAGCCUAAAAAUGGCUCAGAGGCAACUUUUUAAAAAAAGGGGGUUUGGGGAACCAGUGUUACCUAGCCCUCCUUCUCUGAUCCAGAAUGAAUGUGCCCAAGGAGAUCAGGCUAGUGAAAAAAAUGAAGGCAUCUCAGAAGAUAUGGGAGAUGAAGACAAAGAGGAGAGGCAGGAAUCUAGGGCAUCUGUCUGGCACUCAGAAACCAAGGAUAUCCAAGAAAACCAAAUUAAAAGCUUGAAACAGAAACUUUUGUUGGAGGAAGAACCAACAACCAGUCACGGUCAGUCUUCCCAAGGGCUGUUUGUUGAAGAAACUUCUGAAGAAGGCAACUCUGUGCCUGGUUCACAAAGCAUUGCUACUUUGACCAGUAAGAAAAGCUUGCUCCUUAUGCCAGAGAGUUCUGCAGAAGAAAUCACUGUUUGUCCUGAGACACAGUUAAGUUCCCCUGAAACUUUUGAUCUUGAAAGAGAAGACUCUUCAGGUGGCGGGGAGACUCGGGAUGAAGUACAAAUAAUAAUGGGGAAAAAAGAGGUUGGUAACAGGAAAGAUGCUGAGAAGGAAACACCUACUUCUACCUUUUCAUCUACUAACCAAGUAUCAUGUCCACUGUGUGACCAAGGCUUCCCACCCACAAAGAUUGAGCAACAUGCUAUGUACUGCAAUGGUCUAAUGGAACAAGAUGCAGUGUUGACUCGGAGACAAAGAGAGGCUAGGAGCAAGACUGACAAAGGGACAUCUGCACAGACUUCCCUAGACAUUGACAAGCUUGAGAAGUGUUACCUCUGUAAAUCCCUGGUCCCAUUUGGAGAGUAUCAAUGUCAUGUUGACUCCUGUCUCCAGCUUGCAAGAGGUGACCAAGGAGAUGGGCCUGAAGGGAGUGGCAAAGCAUAUCCAACUGUGAAAGGGAAGAGGCUGAAGAAUCCAAAGGAAAAAGGCCACAAUGAAGGCCGACUCCUUAGUCUUUUGGAGCAGUCUGAGCGUAAGACCACAGGCUUUAUAAACCUGGGAUUGGGACUGCCUGUUGAACUGCGAAAAAACAUUUCUAAAUCACAAGGGAAUGAUACAAGCCCCAGGGAGACUUUCUGAAGGAACAGGAGUGGAAAAGCAGACAUUCAAACAUUACUAUCUCCUCCUGAUGUUUCUUUAUUAUCAGCUUUUAGUUUAGUGUUCCAGCGUAUGUUCCUGAGGAGUUGGAGAAAGUAACUCCUCCUUGUGCCUGUUAUUUCUAAAUAGCGUUAAGAGUGGAUUGAGAACAUUGAGAGUUAGUAAUACCAACUUUACGGACUACAAGAGUUAUAUCUAGUAAAACUCAAAAACUAUUCCCUGAUAUAAGUAAGCUCAUGAUAAAUGUUAUUGGCUAUUAUUGCUGUUGUUACUAGUUGCUGUUAAUAUUCACCAGAUGACUAUAGAAAGGGAGCUUUUGCUUGAGUGCAAUGAGAUUUGCUUACUGUCUAGUUCUAAUAGUUUAUUCCCACAAAACAAAUCUGUUGUGUCUUCUCCUAAUUAUGAAAAGGCAACAGCCUGUCCAUGCAUAAUCUUCUGCCUGUAGAUCACCAGGUUGUGAACUUCUGCAGGUGGCAGAUUUCCCAUUGUCAAGUACUUAUUGCUCAUGUCCAGAUUUGCAGAUUUAUUCAGAAGUGUUUUACUCAGAAGUGUUCACCUCAUAGCACCUGAAUCUGUUGUAUGCUAGUACUCACAUUCCACUGAUCUGACAAUUGAAGAUUUGAGUUACUUGAAUAGGCCUGAUAGAAAGCAGUGCCUAGGACAUAGGAAGCACCAGAAAAGUAUGGUGUGAUUACCAUUGUUACUUUCUGUCUUGUCACAGAUGCAGAGAUAAAAACCAAGUCUUCAGAAAUAGGAACCUUCAGUCUAUUCUCCACAGGCAAUGGUCUUAGGUUACUUUCAGAGGAAGAGGCAGGCUGCAGCAGAGAGAUGCAGAGUUCCCUCAUACGUCUCAACUUAAAU